AACAGUAAACUGGACUGCGAUUGGCCUACUGGGUGACGUUGGGCAAGUCAUGUCUCCCCUGUGCCUCAAUUUCCCCACCUUCAAAAAUGGGGAGAAUGAUACUGACCCUCCUUGGUGAAGAUCUUUGAGAUCAGAAGAUGAAAAGCUCUAUAAUGGAGAAUACUGGAGGGUAAAGAUGCAUGCUGACUGCUCGGAUUCAUGCUCAGAUGAAGUUACAGCAAAGUCUUGAGAGACUUGAUCCAAUGCCAACUGGAGUCAACAUAUGGAUUUUUCAAUGGACUUUCAAAGGCCCUAAAUGAGCAACUCAACAUCCAUAGAUGUCAUUGAUUCCAGAGAUGCCAUUCCAAGCAGGGGGUAAAAAGAUCUACCAGCAGAUGGAGACCGG